UACGGGGGGUGCGAGCGUCGUCCGGAAUCACUGGGCGUAAAGGGCGCGUAGGUGGUUUGAUAAGGGUGUGGUGAAAGUCCGGAGCUCAACUCCGGAUCUGCCGUGCCGACUGUCAAACUCGAGGGCUGUAGAGGCAGACGGAAUUCCGGGUGUAGCGGUGGAAUGCGUAGAGAUCCGGAGGAAGACCGGUGGCGAAGGCGGUCUGCUGGGCAGUUUCUGACACUGAGGCGCGACAGCGUGGGGAGCAAACAGG
rnacentral:rRNA from 1 species